rnacentral:rRNA from 1 species
UACGUAGGGGGCAAGCGUUGUCCGGAAUCAUUGGGCGUAAAGAGCGUGUAGGCGGCCCGGUAAGUCCGCUGUGAAAGUCCAGGGCUCAACCCUGGGAUGCCGGUGGAUACUGUCGGGCUCGAGUCCGGAAGAGGAGUGUGGAAUUCCUGGUGUAGCGGUGAAAUGCGCAGAUAUCAGGAAGAACACCCGUGGCGAAGGCGGCUCUCUGGAACGCAACUGACGCUGAGGAGCGAAAGCGUGGGGAGCGAACAGG